CAGCAGUAGCCGCGGGAAUACAGAGGGUGCGAGCGUUAAUCGGAUUUACUGGGCGUAAAGCGUGCGUAGGCGGCUUCUUAAGUCGGAUGUGAAAUCCCUGAGCUUAACUUAGGAAUUGCAUUCGAUACUGGGAAGCUAGAGUAUGGGAGAGGAUGGUAGAAUUCCAGGUGUAGCGGUGAAAUGCGUAGAGAUCUGGAGGAAUACCGAUGGCGAAGGCAGCCAUCUGGCCUAAUACUGACGCUGAGGUACGAAAGCAUGGGGAGCAAACAGGAUUAGAUACCCGAGUAGUCCCUGUCUCUUAUAA
rnacentral:rRNA from 1 species